rnacentral:rRNA from 1 species
UACGUAGGGGGCUAGCGUUGUCCGGAAUCAUUGGGCGUAAAGAGCGUGUAGGCGGCCCGGUAAGUCCGCUGUGAAAGUCGGGGGCUCAACCCUCGAAUGCCGGUGGAUACUGUCGGGCUAGAGUGCGGAAGAGGCGAGUGGAAUUCCUGGUGUAGCGGUGAAAUGCGCAGAUAUCAGGAGGAACACCGGUGGCGAAGGCGGGUCUCUGGGCCAUAACUGACGCUGGAGGAGCGAAAGCGUGGGGAGCGAACAGG